UGUUUCUAAGGGAGUGUAGAAACACUUGCAAAAUUAAAUAGAAGUGAAUUAAACUUUAUGAGUCACAGUGUACUGUGGAAUAAAGAACCAGUUGUGGGUCAACUUCAGAAUUCUAUUUUCUUUUCUGUUGGAAUUUCUUGGCAGUGACUCACCUGAAAGCCUUAUGGUGACUACAAUAUACUAUUUUUGCUGACCAAAGAAAGUUACUUGGUGUCAGAAAGCAACUUGGGAGCCAGAGUGUUUACUGGGAAAAUACCUCACAAAUAAAUAUCUGCAAACACUUUGUAAAGUCAGAGUUUUCUGCAAGCAGCCGCCUUGGUUGUGAUUCUUCGCUGGGUCCUCCAGGAGUCUGUGCAGUGGAAAGAGCACCGGCUUUGCAGUCAGGCAAUUUUUGCUCUUUUGUCUAUUAGCCACGAGAGCUGGAGAAAAUAAUUCCCAUGGGAUAC
rnacentral:lncRNA from 1 species